rnacentral:rRNA from 1 species
GUUUAGGGGGAGCUGGGGCCGAUGUAGUCCCCUGCGGCGGUGGGGAGACGGCGGCCGGAGAGGCGUGGCCGCUGGAGGGGAGGGGAGGGGAGGAUAGUGAAGGGAAGGGAAGGGGGAAUAUCUCUCCGCUCGGGUACAGCGAGGGCGGUGCCAACCUAGGUCUGGUUCGUGCACCCCAAGGUCGAGCUGUACCGCCGCCCUAAGCGCCUAGGUGCCGGUGCCACCACGCUCGCGGAUCGGCGUCAGCACUCUUCUCUCCUCCGUCCCGCCGGUACCGCAAGGGCGGUAUCGGCCUAUUGACCGAGGUGGUGCUCGAGGAGCGUCUCACUGCUACCGCCGAGGCUUGGGAUCGCCUGCGAGGACGAGUAGAAGGAGGUGUGGAGGCCGCGGUAUAAGUAGCGGAUGUACCUGCGUCGAAGGAGAGACCGCUGUCCUUACCAAAUAUUAGAUCCAUCGCGUUUAACAAAAACCAACCGCUACUGACGUUAGUAAAAGCCCUAUUUUUCGUGAAAACCACGGUGAAACAUUUGAGAAUCGCUAUACUCCUUGGUCUCCAGUUGUGUUCUUUAAACAACUUCACUUUCUACUUCUCCUUGAACACCUUCUCGACUUAUGUCCUGUACCUUCUUUCUUCUUUCGUUUCGUAUAUGUAAUAUUACUAUACACCUCAUACUAAAGGGACUACGAUACAAUUUACCAAAGUUCGUGCAACACCUCCUAAAUCGGUAUCUAAAACCACAUUGCAUUCCUGCUAUAAACACAAGAAGCGACUCGUAACUUUUGGACGCUUAAAGACCGACGAUUGAAAAAAAACUGACACGAUUGAAUUUGAUACCAGAAACACCUCUUGUACAGGUCAUUAGAGUCAUAGUAAUGGACGUGUCAUCUUGUAGUUGAUAAAAUGGUAUUUUCAAUCAAGUUAAGUCAAUAAGAUCGGUCGAUCGAUUACACCAAGAACGUUUAUCGUGAUCGUCGUAGCGUAUGGUACUAAGAAAGUAUCACCCCAAUGUAGACUCCGUUGUAUAUAAAUAAGAGAUAGAUCUACAACAUAGUCCUACUUCGAAUGGUUGUUCCUAGUCUUCUUUUGUAGUCAGUGCGGAUUAACACUGCUUCUCAUUCCGUUAUCUCGAUAAACCCAACAUAUUCUUCUUAUGGCCGGUUACGUCCAACUCCGAUCUGUUAACAACGAAUUGACCCAAGUUCAAUCGAGUUAACAAGACUGUUCGAAAUCAAAAAAAAAAGGAGACCACACAUAAGAACUCUGUAAAAUAUAUUUAUAUUUAUCGUAUGUUCGUUA